AGGAUCCACCCGAGUAGCGGGGACCGAAUCCCAUCUUUCUUAUCUCUCGAAGACUCCUUUCAGGCUGAGAUCAGAGAGGGAGGGAAAAAGAAGAGAGAAUCAUUGUUCUUCUUUUUUUAAUUUAAUAUACCAAGCCACCAGCUCAGAAGGCUUCAUUUGCUCUGAGUUAUCAUUGAGAACUAAAUGGAGAAGAAAAGAACUGAAGGCCUGAAGAUAUGUCAUCUGUAGAAAAGGUGGCCUCUUCUCAAGCUUUCUUGGCAAAUCAAGAGCUUCUGCCUUUUGGAGGACAUCCUCUUGACCUCCCACCCAUAUCAGCUCUUAGAGGACAUUCCACAGGAACAUUGCCUUCUUGUCCUCCAGUAUUUUUUAUGGAAACAGAAAUUAGGUUAUCUUCCUUAUGCUCUAGAUGGACAUCUGAAAUCAUCAAACCCUUGAGAGAAACAGCCCUCAUUCUUUUAUGAGACAACCUGGAAGAAAACAGGACUCUGAAGAUUUGUCUCCAUAUUCUCUGGAAAGAUGUACUCUGUUUGCAAUAAGAGGGAGCCACAUGGUUUAUUAGAUGGUUAUUAAUUGAGCAUUCUGUGCAAAGAAGUUUGUGCCUUAGUUAUAUUGAAAAGAAGAAAAUCUCUCCAGUUUCAGAAACACUGGCCUUUUGGAUACUGAGGAGUUGGAAAUGGAAAGGGGAUUUUAAUGAGUUUCUCGGCAAUGAGGCUAGAGAAAAUAUUAUCCAUCUCCCCCUGUUCUCCAAUUCAGCAGCUCGGACUCCUGUUUUCAUCACAGUCCUGUUAGAUAAUUACAGCCCCAAAGGCCUCCUGUUCCUUCUUUCUGUGUUCCCUGAAUCUUCUUUCCCAGAGCCAGGACCUCUUGGAAAUUCUCAGCCUCUGUUAGUUGCCCGCUCUGGGAGCCCGACUCCUCACAUCCGUCAUCUCUUUCUUCUCCCCCUUCACCUGCUGUAGUGUCCCCACUGUCUCUCUUUACCUCAGCUCCUUACCAUUCCUUUCCCUCUACACCCUUUUCCUUUGGUUCAUAGUCAGGAUGUGCUAGUUGCAUUCAAGCCCUUUUUGAUACUAAGAAUUCAGGGGGACAAAUCCAAACCCUGGAGACUACUGUCUUCCCCUUAGUGAUGCUAAUGAAUAUAAUUCCUGAUCUGAAAUUACCUGCACUUUAUUUGGCUCCAUCUACUUUUCUGCCACUUACUCCCUGUAUAACCAUAGGCUACGUACCCUACCUCUCUCUGGGUUUGUUUACUCCUCAGUUAAAAGGAGGAUUAAAAUGGCAAUCACAACACCUUGCUACAGAUAUGUUAGGAAGAUUAAAUGGGAUAACAUGCAGGGUGCCUAGCCUUCCUGGCAUAUAGUAAAUGCCUAUAAAAUAUAACAAGUGUCAUGUAUUAUUAUUAAAUUGUAUCUACCUGGUAGAAACUAA
rnacentral:lncRNA from 1 species